rnacentral:rRNA from 1 species
CCUACGGGCGGCAGCAGUGAGGAAUAUUGGUCAAUGGGCGAAAGUCUGAACCAGCCAAGUCGCGUGAAGGAUGACUGCCCUAUGGGUUGUAAACUUCUUUUAUAUGGGAGUAAAAUGUUCCACGUGUGGGGUUUUGUAUGUACCAUAUGAAUAAGGAUCGGCUAACUCCGUGCCAGCAGCCGCGGUAAUACGGAGGAUCCGAGCGUUAUCCGGAUUUAUUGGGUUUAAAGGGUGCGUAGGUGGUGUGUUAAGUCAGUGGUGAAAUAAUGCGGCUCAACCGUAAAAUUGCAGUUGAAACUGGCAGUCUUGAGUACGGUAGAGGUGGGCGGAAUGCGUGGUGUAGCGGUGAAAUGCAUAGAUAUCACGCAGAACACCGAUUGCGAAGGCAGCUUACUGGACCGCAACUGACACUGAGGCACGAAAGCGUGGGUAUCGAACAGGAUUAGAUACCCGAGUAGUC